rnacentral:rRNA from 1 species
CGUGUAGGCGGUCGGUCAAGUCCGAUGUGAAAGCCCGGGGCUCAGCCUCGGAAGUGCAUCGGAAACUAGCCGGCUGGAGCGCGAUAGAGGAGGGUAGAAUUCCUGGUGUAGCGGUGAAAUGCGUAGAUAUCAGGAGGAAUACCGGCGGCGAAGGCGGCCCUCUGGAUCGUUGCUGACGCUGAGACGCGAAAGCGUGGGGAGCAAACAGGAUUAGAUACCCUGGUAGUCCACGCGGUAAACGAUGGGUACUAGGUGUUCGGGGUAUUGACCCCUGAGUGCCGCAGCUAACGCAUUAAGUACCCCGCCUGGGGACUACGGCCGCAAGGUUAAA